AUUGUUGCGUGCAGUGGCGCAAUUCGAAAAAAUCAUCGACAACAGUCGCCUAUCGCCCGCCCGCCACAAUCUGUAGUGAGACAACAACAAAUGUGUGAGCGGUUGUCCAGGAACUGCAAAAAUUUUGCAAUAUGUUGGCGCAGGUUCAGCGAAAACCAGUGCUCAGCGUUUGUGUCUCAAAAUAUGCAUUUUAAUAACCGAAAACAGAAUAAUUAUUAAAAGCAACAAAUAAUAAUAAAAAAAACAAAAUAUUUAACACAA